AUUGAACGCUUUCUUCCUUCCUUACACAUGCAAGUCGAACGUCAGCACGGGUGCUUGCACCUGGUGGCGAGUGGCGAACGGGUGAGUAAUACAUCGGAACAUGUCCUGUAGUGGGGGAUAGCCCGGCGAAAGCCGGAUUAAUACCGCAUACGAUCUACGGAUGAAAGCGGGGGACCUUCGGGCCUCGCGCUAUAGGGUUGGCCGAUGGCUGAUUAGCUAGUUGGUGGGGUAAAGGCCUACCAAGGCGACGAUCAGUAGCUGGUCUGAGAGGACGACAAGCCACACUGGGACUGAGACACGGCCCAGACUCCUACGGGAGGCAGCAGUGGGGAAUUUUGGACAAUGGGCGAAAGCCUGAUCCAGCAAUGCCGCGUGUGUGAAGAAGGCCUUCGGGUUGUAAAGCACGUGGGUACGGAAAGAAAUCCUUGGCUCUAAUACAGGCGGGGGAUGACGGUACCGGAAGAAUAAGCACAGGCUAACUACGGG
rnacentral:rRNA from 1 species